rnacentral:rRNA from 1 species
AUUAGAUAUAAUUUAUUUAAUUGAAAUAACUUAAUUUUUAGUAUUUUUUAAAGAAUUAAUAUUUAUAAUUUAUAGUUUAGCUUUAACUGUAAAGGUUUAUUAUAUUUGUAAUUUAAAAGUAAAAUUUAUUAUUUGUACCUUUUGUAUCAGGGUUUAAUCAAUUUAAUAUAAUGAAAUUAUAUUUCCCGAAUUUAAAGGAGAUAUUAACAAUUGUUAUUUAAUGUAUCAUUAUUAUUAAUAAAUUGUUAAUAGUUGCUAUAUGCUAUUCAUCUUUAAUUUAUCUGGUUCUUUAAUAAUUGAAUUUAAUUCAGGAUUAAUUAAAUUUAUUAGGGUAUUUUAUUCAUUAUUAUGUAAAUUAAUCUAAAAUUAAAAGGGAUAAGCUUUUUAAUUUGUCUAUAAUUAUUUAUUUUAUUGGAUUUUGUAGGAUUAGAAAUUUUCAUCAUAUAUUUUGUUAUAAUUAAGUUUAUUAGAUAAUUUAUUUAAUAUUUAAUUUAGAUAGUUAUUAAAGAUUAUUAUAUAAUUACAUAAUAAUAGUUAUAAUGAUAAAAUUAGUAGAUUAUUUUAAUUAAUAUAUAGUAAUUCGGCAAAUUUAUUCUUCACCUGUUUAACAAAAACAUGUCCUAAUGUAAACUUGAUUUUUAUUAGGUCUGACCUGCUCAAUGAUUUAUUAAAUAGCCGCAGUAUUUUGACUGUGCGAAGGUAGCAUAAUCAUUUGUCUUUUAAUUGGAGGCUUGUAUGAAUGGUUGGAUGAGGGAAUAACUUUCUUUAUAUUAAAAAUUGAAUUUAAUUUUUGAGUUAAAAAGCUUAAAUAUAUAAAUGGGACGAGAAGACCCUAUAGAAUUUUACUUUUAUUAAUAAUUAAAUUAUUAUUUUGGUUAUUCUUAUUAUUAUUAAUAAUAAAAGUUUUGUUGGGGUGACAGUGAGAUUAUUUUAACUCUCAUAUUAAUUAUAGUUGUUUAUGAACAUGUUUUAAGAUCCUUUAUUAAGGAUAUCUAGAUUAAAUUACCUUAGGGAUAACAGCGUAAUCUUUCUGGAGAGUUCUUAUCGAUGGAAAGGGUUGCGACCUCGAUGUUGGAUUAAAAUUAGAUUUAAGUGUAGAAGCUUAAUUUCUAAGUCUGUUCGACUUUUAAAAUUUUACAUGAUCUGAGUUCAGACCGGCGUGAGCCAGGUCGGUUUCUAUCUUUUUAUUAAGAUUAAAUGUGGGUUAGUACGAAAGGACCAUUCACAUCAAAUAAUUUGUUAAAUAAUUGAAUAUUUUUAA